rnacentral:rRNA from 1 species
GAUGAACGCUGGCGGCGUGCCUAAUACAUGCAAGUCGAGCGAACGGGCGAGAAGCUUGCUUCUCUGAUGUUAGCGGCGGACGGGUGAGUAACACGUGGAUAACCUACCUAUAAGACUGGGAUAACUUCGGGAAACCGGAGCUAAUACCGGAUGAUAUUUUGAACCGCAUGGUUCAAAAGUGAAAGACGGUCUUGCUGUCACUUAUAGAUGGAUCCGCGCUGCAUUAGCUAGUUGGUAAGGUAACGGCUUACCAAGGCAACGAUGCAUAGCCGACCUGAGAGGGUGAUCGGCCACACUGGAACUGAGACACGGUCCAGGCUCCUACGGGAGGCAGCAGUAGGGAACCUUCCGCAAUGGGCGAAAGCCUGACGGAGCAACGCCGCGUGAGUGAUGAAGGUCUUCGGAUCGUAAAACUCUGUUAUUAGGGAAGAACAUAUGUGUAAGUAACUGUGCACAUCUUGACGGUACCUAAUCAGAAAGCCACGGCUGACUACGUG